rnacentral:rRNA from 1 species
CUUGACCCGAGCAACCUGUACAAAAUCCUGCUCUCUAAACUUAAAAAAAAAAACAAAAAGUUUGGGGUAAUUUUUUUUUACAGAUUUGACUGAAGGAAAAGGGAAAUUCACACGGGCGAGGCCGGAGAGGGACAGGGGCAAAGAGUAGGGAGAAAGAAUAUACCUUUGCCAUCUCCCCGGAUCCCUUCCGUGCUCUGCUGCCACCCCCAAAUCUCCUCCCCACUCCCGAAUCAAAUCCCCCGUCACCUCCGCCACCACCCCACCCCACCUAUCCCCACCGCCGGCGCGAGCACGGGAGCGCGAGCGCGAGCGGAGCGAUGGCCGGCGCGGGAUCCUCGUCGGGCGGCUCGGGCGGCGGCGGGGGGAGGGAGGGCGACUGGGACUGCGGCGGCUGCGGCAACCGCAACUACGCCUUCCGCUCCCUCUGCAACCGCUGCAAGCAGCCGCGCCUCCUCGUCGACCCCAACACCCCGCGCGACUCCAAGUGGCUCCCCCGCGCCGGCGACUGGAUCUGCAACGGUACGGCCCCCAACACCCCACACCUCGCCUCUAGUUUCUGCUGUUCCCCAUCUAGGCUUAUGUAGAGCUGAAAUCAAGUGGAGAGGGAAACCUAUCAGGCUGGUAGAGCUAGCCUGGAGGUGGCGUAGGCUCGAGAUGUGUUGUAUCAUGGGCUAGGGUGUGAUACGAGAUGGGCACCGAUGGCUCUCGGGGGCCCUGUUAAUUUAAGCUUGUGAUCUCUCUCGGCACAUUGCAUCGGAGGUUUAACCGCUUAAUGGUUAUAGCAUUUAUGUUUUGUUUGAUUAUCUUAAUCCUGUUUAGGUGUAUUUGGCCUUGUUAGAGCCUAUGAUCAUAGUAAUUGCAGUAUAUGGUUGUGAUAUAAUUCUGGGGUCUGGAGGCUUGGGUAAUGAGUUGGUACUCAAAAGUGAAUACACGCUAUUUAAGCGAUUUUUGCUUGUGCCAAAUAACAUGUGUGGGAUGUGGGAUCCGUGCUAGUAAUUUCUUACCUUUUGUUCUGGAAAAUCUUAAUUGCUGUUGAUGUUUAUUUUACUCAUUGUAUAUGUACUCCCUCCGUCCGAAAAAACUUGUCCCAAGCUUGUCCCUCAAAUGGAUGUAUCUAGCACUAACUUGGUGGUAGAUACAUCCAUUUGAGGGACAAGCUUUUCCGGACGGAGGGAGUAUGCUUGUAGAUGAUAUUAGAGAAGUACCAGCAGCUUUACUGAGUAAAUGACUAGUGUGUGUGUGCUUAUUUCUUUUUUUGGGUGUUGUGCGGGAUGGCUGGUUGCCUUGGUGUGCGUGUACUUCGGAUGUGCGUUGUCGUGCUGCCUGGUGUGGUGGUGGUGGUGGUGGUGGUUGGUUUAUGCGGCAAAUGGAUGAAUGAAUAGGUUGCAGUAACAAUAAUUAUGCAUCCAGAAAGAACUGCAAGAAGUGCAACCUGCCCAAGGAGGAAGCAGCGAUGCCGCAGUUAUCAAUGGGAGGAAUGAUGCCAGCCUAUGCAGAUUAUAUGGCCAGGGUACAGGAGAUUGCCAAUGCUGGGUAUAAGAUGAACUUUGGCAAUCCAGCUAUGCAGCAGCAGCUACUCGCAAACGCAAACUGGCCCUAUGGGAUGGCUGGUAGAUAUGGUAUGCAAUCGUCUGCUUGGCCGUUCGCCGGCAACAGCACAAAUCAGUUUCAAGGUGUUCCAAAGGACUGGCGUAGUGGUGACUGGCUCUGCAGCUGUGGAUUCCAUAACUAUUCAUCUCGUGCUCAGUGCAAAGAGUGUAAUGCACCUGUCCCAUCAGGCAUGGCCUCUACAACCAUGAAAUCCACAGGAGCAGAUAGUUCUUCAACAUUAGGUAAUAAGCGUUUGGCAUCAGAGGAGCUUGCUAAUGACUGGGAUAAUAAAAGGCUAAAUCCAGGAAAUGCUAAUUAUCCACUUUCAGCAGCAGGCUCAGAUAAUUUAUUUAUGGGUCAAGGUGCUGGAAACAAUAAUGGCCAGACAACUUAUUCUGCAUAUGACAAUGGAAACUCAAUGGCAUCUGGACAAAUUCCAGGGAUGUCUGGUGUAGUUGGUAAAGGAGCAAAAUGGCGUGAAGGAGACUGGUUGUGCACCAACUGCAGCAAUCAUAACUACGCAUCUCGUGCAUUUUGUAACAGAUGCAAAACUGCGAAAGAGUCUUCGGUUCAUCCGGGUGCGCUAUAAUAAUAGCUUUGCUUGUACUUUUGCGACCAAGUUAUUGAAGCGGGUGUGGAGUCUCCUGGUUCUGCCACGGCUGAUCGGUCGCUGCCGUCGCCAGGAUUGUUGUUAUGUUUGUGGUUUGGCCCUGCAGUACUUAUGCUGCUGUUAAAAUUGUUCUGUCUGAAUCUAAUAUUGUUUGUGGGAGUUUGCAUUUGUCUACGCCGAGCACUAGAAUAAAACGUUUCCUGUAUGUCGAAGUGUACCAUCUGUUUUUUGUUUUUGUGUGUGCGUGUGCAACGAUUUGAUUUGUUCUUCAGUACCUCAACAGCUAUGAUGUAAUGUAAUGCUGGAUCUAUUUCAUGUGGCAAUGCUGGAUUUUAUUGUUUUAUGAAUCGCUUAACCUUGUAAAGAUCUGUAAUCCUGGUCCACAGCUUUGUACCGUCGAUAUCAUUGUCAUUUUAGAAAAUUAUUGAACAUGUGACUGGUUUCAGACAUGUUCU